UACAGACGGUCCAAACGUUAUUCGGAAUCACUGGGCUUAAAGAGUUCGUAGGCGGUCAGGAAAAGUGGGGUGUGAAAGCCCUCGGCUUAACCGAGGAAUUGCGCUCCAAAACUCCCUGACUUGAGGAGGCUAGAGGUAAGCGGAACUGAUGGUGGAGCGGUGAAAAUGCGUUGAUAUCAUCAGGAACACCGGAGGCGAAGGCGGCUUACUGGGGCCUUUCUGACGCUGAGGAACGAAAGCUAGGGGAGCGAACGGG
rnacentral:rRNA from 1 species